rnacentral:rRNA from 1 species
GACGAACGCUGGCGGCGUGCUUAACACAUGCAAGUCGAGCGGUAAGGCCCUUUCGGGGGUACGACGAGCGGCGAACGGGUGAGUAACACGUGGGUGACCUGCCCUCAGCUCUGGGAUAAGCCUGGGAAACCGGGUCUAAUACCGGAUAUGACUCCAUGACGCAUGUUGUGGGGUGGAAAGCCUUGUGCGGCUGAGGAUGGGCCCGCGGCCUAUCAGCUUGUUGGUGGGGUGAUGGCCUACCAAGGCGACGACGGGUAGCCGGCCUGAGAGGGCGACCGGCCACACUGGGACUGAGACACGGCCCAGACUCCUACGGGAGGCAGCAGUGGGGAAGUCUUGCGCAAUGGGCGAAAGCCUGACGCAGCGACGCCGCGUGAGGGAUGACGGCCUGUGUAAC